UCACUCAUCACCCUGUGACAUACCUAAAACGUUGCUUCGGCGGGAACAGACGGCCCUGUAACAACGGGCCGCCCCCGCCAGAGGACCCCUAACUCUGUUUUUAUAAUGUUUUUCUGAGUAAACAAGCAAAUAAAUUAAAACUUUCAACAACGGAUCUCUUGGCUCUGGCAUCGAUGAAGAACGCAGCGAAAUGCGAUAAGUAAUGUGAAUUGCAGAAUUCAGUGAAUCAUCGAAUCUUUGAACGCACAUUGCGCCCGCCAGUAUUCUGGCGGGCAUGCCUGUUCGAGCGUCAUUACAACCCUCAGGCCCCCGGGCCUGGCGUUGGGGAUCGGCGGAAGCCCCCUGUGGGCACACGCCGUCCCUCAAAUACAGUGGCGGUCCCGCCGCAGCUUCCAUUGCGUAGUAGCUAACACCUCGCAACUGGAGAGCGGCGCGGCCAUGCCGUAAAACACCCAACUUCUGAAUGUUGACCUCGAAUCAGGUAGGAAUACCCGCUGAACUUAAGCAUAUCAAUAAGCGGAGGA
rnacentral:rRNA from 1 species